rnacentral:lncRNA from 1 species
AUGGCAGGUCAGAGAUCCAUGGAAUUACCAAGGAGCCAUCUCAAAGCUGGGAAGGAGCCUUUAGAGAAGAGUUUGAAUCCCACCAUGGAUUUGGUUAGAAAGGACCUUAAAGAUCACCUGGUUCCAAUCCCCGAGACCCUCAGCUUCCAGCUCCUGCUCUCCAGAGGGCACAGCCGGCUCCUCCAGCAGGGACCCCCAGCCAGGGGCCAGCCCUGGGGAGCCACCCCGAGCCCCCGGACAAGCCACAGAACCCCCCCAGCUCCCACACCUUGCCCAGCCCAGCCUUACCUGCCUCCUCCGCGGCCGGCACUGCUCUCAAAAACUGGUUUGAAAACAUCAAUUAAGCUUCCUGUUGUCUGUUUCCAAGAUCAGCGGGGGAGGAAACUGAGGCACAGCUUUGGGGUUGGAAGGAAUCCUCAUCCUGAGGCUGACUGA